UACGUAGGUGACCAGCGUUGUCCGGAUUUACUGGGCGUAAAGAGCGCGCAGGCGGUCGUUCACGUCGAGUGUGAAAGCCCCCGGCUCAACUGGGGAGGGUCACUCGAUACUGAUCGACUUGAAGGCAGGAGAGGGAAGCGGAAUUCCCGGUGUAGUGGUGAAAUGCGUAGAUAUCGGGAGGAACACCAGUGGCGAAGGCGGCUUCCUGGCCUGUUCUUGACGCUGAGGCGCGAAAGCGAGGGGAGCAAACGGG
rnacentral:rRNA from 1 species